ACAAGUAGCGGAGCAUGUGGUUUAAUUCGAAGCAACGCGAAGAACCUUACCUAAGCUUGACAUCCCAAUGACAUCUCCUUAAUCGGAGAGUUCCCUUCGGGGACAUUGGUGACAGGUGGUGCAUGGUUGUCGUCAGCUCGUGUCGUGAGAUGUUGGGUUAAGUCCCGCAACGAGCGCAACCCUUGUCUUUAGUUGCCAUCAUUAAGUUGGGCACUCUAGAGA
rnacentral:rRNA from 1 species